UACAGAGGGUGCAAGCGUUAAUCGGAAUUACUGGGCGUAAAGCGUGCGUAGUCGGUUAUCUAAGUCGGGUGUGAAAUCCCCAGGCUUAACCUGGGAACUGCAUUCGAGACUGCAUAGCUAGAGUAUGGGAGAGGGAAGUGGAAUUUCAGGUGUAGCGGUGAAAUGCGUAGAUAUCUGAAGGAACAUCAGUGGCGAAAGCGACUUCCUGGACCAAUACUGACGCUCAUGUGCGAAAGCGUGGGGAGCAAACAGG
rnacentral:rRNA from 1 species